rnacentral:rRNA from 1 species
AUUGAACGCUGGCGGCAGGCCUAACACAUGCAAGUCGAGCGGAUGAAGGGAGCUUGCUCCUGGAUUCAGCGGCGGACGGGUGAGUAAUGCCUAGGAAUCUGCCUGGUAGUGGGGGAUAACGUCCGGAAACGGGCGCUAAUACCGCAUACGUCCUAAGGGAGAAAGUGGGGGAUUUUCGGACCUCACGCUAUCAGAUGAGCCUAGGUCGGAUUAGCUAGUUGGUGGGGUAAAGGCCUACCAAGGCGACGAUCCGUAACUGGUCUGAGAGGAUGAUUAGUCACACUGGAACUGAGACACGGUCCAGACUCCUACGGGAGGCAGCAGUGGGGAAUAUUGGACAAUGGGCGAAAGCCUGAUCCAGCCAUGCCGCGUGUGUGAAGAAGGUCUUCGGAUUGUAAAGCACUUUAAGUUGGGAGGAAGGGCAGUAAGUUAAUACCUUGCUGUUUUGACGUUACCAACAGAAUAAGCACCGGCUAACUUCGUG